GGGGCAUUUGGCCAGGGGAAACCCUGAUGCAGCCAUGCCGCGUGAGUGAUGAAGGCUUCGGGUGGUAAAGCUCUUUCUGCAGGGAAGAAAUGGACAGGCCUAAUAGCCUGGGGACAUGACGGUCCCUGCCUAAUAAGCGCCGGCUAACUACGUGCCAGCAGCCGCGGUAAUA
rnacentral:rRNA from 1 species